UGGGGAAUCUUGCGCAAUGGGCGAAAGCCUGACGCAGCAACGCCGCGUGCGGGAUGACGGCCUUCGGGUUGUAAACCGCUUUCAGCAGGGACGAAGAUGACGGUACCUGCAGAAGAAGCCCCGGCCAACUACGUGCCAGCAGCCGCGGUAACACGUAGGGGGCAAGCGUUGUCCGGAUUCAUUGGGCGUAAAGAGCUCGUAGGCGGCUCAGCAAGUCGGGUGUGAAACCUCCGGGCUCAACUCGGAGACGCCACCCGAUACUGCUGUAGCUAGAGUCCAGUAGGGGAGCGUGGAAUUCCCGGUGUAGCGGUGAAAUGCGCAGAUAUCGGGAGGAACACCGGCGGCGAAGGCGGCGCUCUGGGCUGGAACUGACGCUGAGGAGCGAAAGCGUGGGUAGCGA
rnacentral:rRNA from 1 species